rnacentral:rRNA from 1 species
GACGAACGCUGGCGGCGUGCUUAACACAUGCAAGUCGAACGGAAAGGCCCUGCUUGCAGGGUACUCGAGUGGCGAACGGGUGAGUAACACGUGGGUGAUCUGCCCUGCACUUCGGGAUAAGCCUGGGAAACUGGGUCUAAUACCGGAUAGGAGCCAUUUUUAGUGUGAUGGUUGGAAAGUUUUUUCGGUGUAGGAUGAGCUCGCGGCCUAUCAGCUUGUUGGCGGGGUAAUGGCCUACCAAGGCGGCGACGGGUAGCCGGCCUGAGAGGGUGGACGGCCACAUUGGGACUGAGAUACGGCCCAGACACCUACGGGAGGCAGCAGUGGGGAAUAUUGCACAAUGGGCGCAAGCCUGAUGCAGCGACGCCGCGUGGGGGAUGACGGCCUUCGGGUUGUAAACUCCUUUCGCUAGGGACGAAGCUUUUUGUGACGGUACCUAGAUAAGAAGCACCGGCUAACUACGUG